GCUUGGAAGGGGUCUGUCUGCGUGGCCUCCUGAGCGGGGGGCGGGGCAUUAUCUCCAAGUGUUUGUGAGCGGAGUAACGUGGGUAUCGGCUGAGUUUUUAUAACAAAUUCUAAAACUGCAUGAGUGUGAGCCUCCUGUAACGAACGUCAGCCCAGACUAGCACUUCAAAAUACUAAACCUGGAUAACCUGCUGCUGCACGUGCUUUAAAAGGUAGAAAAUUAGUUGGCAGGACAGUGAUGGGGGAUACUGUCAGGUGAAGUGCAGAGUGUUGGAGGGCGGGGCGGGUAGGGCAUCCUGGGAGUUGAGCCGAGGCCUCAAGCGCUAGCGACAGCUCCAGUGCUAAGCUGUGCCUCCAGCCCAGUUCUUUACUUGAGCUGACCAGUGCUCCGCGUUGUUAAAGUGCCCUUGUGGGUGGGCGGCUCACCUGCUGUGAGCCGGACAAGCUUGCUGAAGAGACUUGACUUCUGGAGGUUGACCUCUGACCUCCACAAACACGAGGAAAUAAGUGUGAGAAGCUAAGAAAUCUUAAAGUAAGGCCCGGGCAUCAGCAUUUGACAGACAUCCCCCUCUUCAGAGUAUAAUGUGUGCUCACACUAGUGGGGCAGCAGGGUGGAGGAAGACGCGUUUAACCCUGAUCCUGAGCUGCUCUGGCAGAGGCUGUUCUGCAGUUUUCUGGUUUAAAUGCUAAGAGUAACUCUGAUAAAAGUAUCAUAGUCUGUGGUAGAGGCAUUCUUUUCAAAUAAAUACAAUAAAUAUGGAUAUAAAAUAUUUUUAAAAUAUUACUACCUUUAAAAUUUUGUAAUUGAUCCCAGAAUUAUAAACUCACCUCUUUCCCCAUUUUCUAAUAUGUAAUAUUAACAUCCAAAGAGCAGAAAUUACACACUACAAGGAUUUUGGAAAUUUGCGUUGUCUUGGCUUUUAUCUGUGGAAGUUCAGCUGAUGUUUGAUACCAUAUACCACCAACCCCAUGUGUAAUAAACUGCUUAUUAACUAAGAAUAAUAAGGGAUCGACAGAAACUAAAAAUUAAAACAGACUGUACUAACUUGCCAGCAUCGGUACAGUGUUCACUCACUGUUAACUGAGGUAAGGGUAGUCUAUAUAUGAUGGAUGGAUGCAUUGGACAAAGCUGUCCAAAGGGACAGCUUGUACUCUUCGGUCUUGAAGCGAGUGUAUCAGACUUCUCAGCUAUUGCUUACAGAUGUUUUUUGGGUUUUUUUGAGACAGGGUUUCUCUGUGUAGUCCUGGCUGUCCUAGAACUCUCUCUGUAGACCAGGCUGGCCUCAAACUCAGAAAUCUACCUGCUUCUGCCUCCCAGAGUGCUGGGAUUAAAGGCAUGCUCCACCACCGCCCGACCUUACAGAUGUUUAAUAUUCUACUUAAUAACUGUGGACAAAGUUGACCAUGGAAGAGGAGAGCACUGCACACAUUUCAGUUACUAUACCACAGACACGCCCUAGUAGCUUGAUGGUUUAGAAAUGGGCACUAGCUCCUAGACUUCCAAAUACCCUUUACAAUAUUUUUUAAGAUGUAUUUAUUUUUAUGUAUAUGAGUAUGCUGUGACUGUACAGAUGGCUGUGAGCCAUCAUGUGGUUGCUGGGAAUUGAACUCAAGACCUCUGCUCACUCCAGCCCUGCUCACUCCAGUACCCAAAAUAACCUUUAAACCUAGAUAAGCAACCAUUCUGAGCAGCUGGAUAUGAUUCUUCAGUAAAAGAUAGGUGUGGGCUCAAGUAAAUGCCCUCUUAAGUGGUGCAGAAGUAGAAGGGGAACUCUCUUAUUAAAAUGCCUUGGGCAUGACCUGGCAUUUGCUGUAUGUCUUGCCCUCGGUCUUCACAACCCUGAGAAGCAAUCUCUCAGACUUAUAGAUUGUGGAUGAGGAAACUGGAGCUUCUCAGUAUUGCGAGCAGUCUCAGAGCUCACCCGCUGCUGCUCCGGUUUAACCUGGGUCGGUGUCCUCGCAGCGCAUUCUGUGCUGGGUGUUGGAGCUCUCGUGUCAGCAUAGAGACUUCUCAGUGGUGGGAUUACGAGAAUUCGCCAGCACCACUGCUGGAGGCUUUUGUCACUGUCCGUAGAAAAUAAUAUUUGCACAGAAAAUGAAACUGUGCACAGUAUUGUUUUCUGCCGUAGGCAGAAGUAUGUUUGCACGUCCACUGUACUGGUGUCACCCGGCUGACAGGCGGAAUGGCUAACAGGAAGAGCGCCCACACUGACCUUCCCUGGCGCUCAGCAUGCACUGCACAUGGCUCACUGCCGGUUCUCCUGCAUGUCAGCCUCCCGGACGGCUUAGCUACACUUACCUCACCAUGCUUUCCUUUGGAUUUCCUGAAGAUUUUGUUGAAGUUGCAUAAUUGUGACUAGAAAGUUUGUCAUACUGUAAUGUGUCUUGGAUCAUGAGUUAAUGUUUGAGAUUUAGAAAUUCCAGCUGACCAGUGGGUAAUUACUGUUAGAUCCUACAGAUUUCCAAGUGCUGGGGUUACAGGCAUGCACCACCACUGCUAAUUAUUCAGUUCCUAAUGAGAACCUGUUCCCUCUGUAAUUGGAAUUAUCAAAGAAGUAGAGAGGCAUAAAAGACCAGUGUAUUUCUAAGGAAUAGCAAGUAACUCCUACAAAAUAAGAUUUUGUAUGUGUCACAUUUUGACUAGCCUCCUGCAGUAGGCUAAGGAGUCUGUAGAUCAUGCACUAGGAAAGAGUCUGCUGAGCGACUCUGGGCUGCCAAGGGGGUGACCGAAGUGGCGCGCAGGAGAUAAUCUGAGGUUUCCUCAUGGGAGAGAUUGUGACACACGCUGCCCCUAUUCCUGGGUGAAGUGGCAACAGCACAGGUCCCUGUGGCAGAAAGUGGUCUCCGUGUUACUGUCUAGGCUGAGUGGGUGCUGUUUCCUGUGUCACUGUCUAGGCUGAGUGGGUGCUGUUUCCUGUGUCACUGUCUAGGCUGAGUGAGUGAGUGCUGUUUCCCGUGUCACUGUCUAGGCUGAGUGGGUGCUGUUUCCCGUGUCACUGUCUAGGCUGAGUGGGUGCUGUUUCCCGUGUCACUGUCUAGGCUGAGUGGGUGCUGUUUCCUGUGUCACUGUCUAGGCUGAGUGGGUGCUGUUUCCCGUGUCACUGUCUAGGCUGAGUGGGUGCUGUUUCCCGUGUCACUGUCUAGGCUGAGUGGGUGCUGUUUCCUGUGUCACUGUCUAGGCUGAGUGAGUGAGUGCUGUUUCCCGUGUCACUGUCUAGGCUGAGUGGGUGCUGUUUCCCGUGUCACUGUCUAGGCUGAGUGAGUGCUGUUUCCCGUGUCACUGUCUAGGCUGAGUGAGUGAGUGCUGUUUCCUGUGUCACUGUCUAGGCUGAGUGAGUGCUUGCUGUUUCCCGUGUCACUGUCUAGGCUGAGUGAGUGAGUGCUGUUUCCUGUGUCACUGUCUAGGCUGAGUGAGUGCUGUUUCCUGUGUCACUGUCUAGGCUGAGUGAGUGAGUGCUGUUUCCUGUGUCACUCUCUAGGCUGAGUGAGUGGGUGCUGUUUCCUGUGUCACUGUCUAGGCUGAGUGAGUGCUGUUUCCCGUGUCACUGUCUAGGCUGAGUGAGUGCUGUUUCCUGUGUCACUGUCUAGGCUGAGUGAGUGAGUGCUGUUUCCCGUGUCACUGUCUAGGCUGAGUGAGUGAGUGCUGUUUCCCGUGUCACUGUCUAGGCUGAGUGAGUGAGUGCUGUUUCCCGUGUCACUGUCUAGGCUGAGUGGGUGCUGUUUCCCGUGUCACUGUCUAGGCUGGGUGGGUGCUGUUUCCUGUGUCACUGUCUAGGCUGAGUGAGUGCUGUUUCCCGUGUCACUGUCUAGGCUGGGUGGGUGCUGUUUCCUGUGUCACUGUCUAGGCUGAGUGAGUGGGUGCUGUUUCCCGUGUCACUGUCUAGGCUGAGUGAGUGAGUGCUGUUUCCCGUGUCACUGUCUAGGCUGGGUGGGUGCUGUUUCCUGUGUCACUGUCUAGGCUGAGUGAGUGCUGUUUCCUGUGUCACUGUCUAGGCUGAGUGAGUGGGUGCUGUUUCCCGUGUCACUGUCUAGGCUGGGUGGGUGCUGUUUCCUGUGUCACUGUCUAGGCUGGGUGGGUGCUGUUUCCCGUGUCACUGUCUAGGCUGGGUGGGUGCUGUUUCCUGUGUCACUGUCUAGGCUGAGUGAGUGGGUGCUGUCUCACUCUUUUUCUUGGCUUACUUUGUAUUUGUUUCUAAGAGAAAACACUUUCAAAAAUAUGAUAGCCGUGGAGCUAGGCGGCUGACCCUCUCUCUCUCUCUCCAGAAUCUCUGCUCCUUUGAUUCUGGUUCUGGUUUUGAGUCUAACUGUUAUGACCUCCGUGCUGUCAAUAAGGGAUCCUGUGAAAACUGCUGUCCAGAUGUACUUGUGCUGCAGCUUGGUGAGAGCAGAGCACUUGCAGGCCUGCUUGGGAACUAGAGAAGCCAUCUCGGUCCCUUGUGUUCCGUGAGCUGGGGCAGAGGAUAGCCAAGGGCAGGCCG